AUUGUGGUUUCUCAUUUUUCUAUUUAGGUUCCUGGUAAAUAUACUGUUGUAGCCACUUAUGAUAAAGGCAACUCAAAUGACUUGAUCCUGAACAGUGGCGAGUUAGUUCAGCUAAUCCAUGAAGGAGCAGAUGGUCUUUGGUAUCUGAGGAACUUGAGCACAAACAAAGAAGGGUGGGUCCCUAUCAACAUUCUGAUACCAUUACUCAGUAACUCCAAAUCUGCUUUCUCUCUCAGCAGCUCAGAAUCUGCGGCGGGUUCAAGUGCACUGAGUUCAUCUUCAAGUUGUAGUGAAAAUUGCAACAUCAGCACCCCCUUCUCAGAUACUAAGGGUUAAAUUCCACAACUCUCUGAAGAUUUAAAACUGCCAAUGCGACUAUCACAUGUUAAAGAAGUAAAGAAGCAUCAUAAUUGCACAUCUCUCAGUUGUUCCUCUUGUG